CUUGUGACCCGCUGGGACUUAUAAGCAAGGGAGGAUAAGAGAUGACUGGACAUCAUGCAGGAAAGAAGGCAGUAAAUACCCCACACAGCUUCUGUGCAAUCUCUGUCGUAACUGGAGUUGCAGUAAGAAGGAUGGAGCUGCUUAGUAGCAUGAACGUGUUCCUAAGGGAAAAACACACUGAGUGACAAGUUCAGAUGUCCCUACAAUGAAAACUGUUCUUUGCAAGCAGCAGCUGACACAAACCUUGCUUGUGGAGUUAGGAGGGUCGUACAUCCCAAGUUUGGAGAGGAGAUUUGCACACUUUGCAGUGUGAAACCACAGAUUCCUCUUGGCUUGUGACGUUGGGAAUGCCCUUCUGAAAAAUGUGCCCACAAAGUGAAAGAGAAGGAAAGAGGGGAGGAAACAGUGAAUUUCAGAGCCAGGAAAUGGCUUUAACAGGCAGCUUUACUGUGGGAACAGCAUUGUAAACAAUUGUUGCUGUUAAUCUUGCAGUCCCAAAUGUUGAGUUUGCUGGAUUUCUGCAUACCUUACCCUAAAAUAAGGGUGAUGGGAUAACACAACAGUAAUUCAACUGUCCCUUAUCCUAAUUCAUCACAGAUUUGAAGGCUUUUACAAGGAAAGCCCGAUUCGAUUCUAAUCUAGGGCAAGGAAAGGAAAGGAAUGUUUAAUGACUUUUUAUUUUUAUUAAUUUCACUCUAUUUUCUUGAAUCUAAAAAGUCUUCAGUAAGUUUGGAAGUAGUUCUGAAGGUAACAUUAGUCUGAUGAAUGUGAAAGUGCCUUAAUCAUGCAUAGACACAAACAAGAUGUAAGUGUGGGCCAGUCAUGUUUGAAUCUGUGUUGCGGACUAAGGUGAAAUUCCCCAUCUUGAUUUGUUAUGUGAUUUAUACAGGCUUUUGCUAUGGAACUUAGGUACUUGUGACAGGCAAAGCGAUUACUGGGAUCGGUUCAGAUGUUCAGUUAAUAAAUGAUCUAUCUGCUCUGGACACUCUAUCCAAUACACCUUUAUCCUAUGCUACUUUCUUAAUCAUGAUCUGUUAGACACAACUCUACCUGGGUGGGCUUUCAGACUUUCCAACUACCAUUCAGUGUGAAGCUUUAUCUGGGGACCAAAACUUAUCAGGCAGUUCAUAAUAUUGUAUACUGGAGUAAAGGACUUCCCAGUUUUUUCCCACGCUGUACUGGGGAGCUCGGUGCUGUGUGGAUCGUCUCAAGAGAGAUCACAUGGCGUGUGCAGGACAGCCGGAGGAUCAGGCCUAGCCAACAUGGGUUCAUGAAGGGAAGGUCCUGCUUGACCAACCUGAUCUCCUUCUAUGAUCUAGUGACCCGUCUGGUGGAUGAGGGAAAGGCUGUUGAUGUAGUCUACCUAGACUUCAGCAAAGCCUUUGACGCUGUCUCCUACAGUAUCCUCCUGCAGAAGCUGGCAGUCCGUGGCUUGGACAGAUACACUCUUGGCUGGGUAAGGAACUGGCUGGAGGGCCGGGCCCACAGAGUGCUGGUGAAUGGAGUUAAAUCCAGCUGGUGACCGGGUACAGGUGGUGUUCCCCAGGGGUCAGGACUGGGGCCUGUCCUGUUCUGUAUCGUUAUUGAUGACCUGGAUGAGGGCAUUGAGUGCACCUUCAGUAAGUUUGCGCCAUGGGAGACUCAGGUUGGAUAUUAAGAAAAAUUUCUACUCCCUGAGAGUGGUCAGGAGCUGGAAUGGGCUGCCCAGGGAUAUGUGGUGGAGUCACCAUCACUGGAUGUGUUGAAGAAACGUUCAGAUAUUGUGCUAAGGGAUGUGGGUUACUGGGGAAACAUUGGUGGCAGGUGGAUGGUUGGACUGGAUGAUCUUGGAGGUCUUUUCCAACCUUGGUGAUUCUGUGAUAGGUGUCAGUGGGGGGAACCCUGUUGCAGUGGUAUGGGUAGAGGCAGUGCCCCUCCCAGGCCCAUAUUCUGUAGUACAGAGCUGGAGAAGAUGUGUAUUGGUGCACGUAAAUGGGCAGCAUUCCAGAGAAACAAACAUUCAGGUUAGAUUUAGUGUUUGAUAACAUAAUACUUUUUUGUUUAAUUUUCAGGUGCCCUUGGUCUCCUGCAUUUCUUACAUCUUAGAUGUUUCUGAACUCAAAGGUAUCCCAUCUAAGAACAUUUCAUAUGCAAGUAAGAAUAAUAAUAAUAAUAAAUUUAAAAAGUGGUGGAAGUAUUCAGGCUUCAUUUUUAUGCCUGAGCACAAUGCCAGAGCUGUGCUGUGCUGCUUCUGGAAAUCUGGUCAAUUAGAUAGCAGUAAUUGGAAAUACUGCACUCACAGCCCACUUUGAUGUGGUUAUUCGGAGGAAAAAAAUGCGUUCCCUCAGAGAAAGUGAGUGCUUGACUUAAAAGGGUUUUGCUGCACUGUUAAAAUAUCUGAUUUCCGCCUCUAAUAAAUAGAUUGAAUGUAUUUUUAACUAAUUACGUCUCUGACGUUGCUAUUGCUGGGGCAGGGAGAAGUAGGCCGUGCAGCUCCAUGUUACAGCAUAUUCAUGAAGUUUAUUUCUGGGUUGUAGUUUAAUCAAGAAAGCUGUCAUCCAACCAUUCCAAAUUUUGGUCUCAGAUUGCCUGACUGAAUGUCUUGGUGUUGGCACAGAGUAAUGGCAGGAAGCAGAAUGCCAGGAGAUGGGUAAUUACCAUGGUGGAAUAGCAGCUCCCAGCAUGAGGAGUCAUGGUAUUUUGAUGAUGUUAAAUAGCAAUGGGUUAUCGUUUAACUAAACAGAGGAGAUAGAGAAGAGAGAAAGAAUAAAAACAUAUUGUAAAAGCUGCGUUCUAGGGAUAGUAGUAGUGCAAGACAGGGAAUAGAGUUCAGUCAACACGUUUCACUGACUGCAGCUUAGGUGGUUGACUAUAUAUCUAUUUAAUACACUGUCCUUAAGUAAUUAUGGUCUCAGUUAGGAAAUGCUCAGCAGAUAAGAAUUCCAAAUGUACGCUAACAAACAAACAGUCUUGGCAAAGUAUACAACAAAUGAUAUGCACCCCCGGCUCCCCACAAAACCAUUAGGUAACACAUGGAAACUCCUGAAGUACACAAUGCACUCCACAAGCUGCCAGGUAAUGGAGUCUGCUGAUUCCUGCAAGGCACAGUAUUAGACUGAAUUCUCUGAGAGAGGGCCAUAACCAAUAUCCCCUGGAAAGAAGGGAGGUUUCAAGAUACUGUUAUGGAGAGUAAUGCGACCUGAUGUUCAAUGGUCGGUGCAGAAAUCAGUGCCUGCGGUGAGGGGGAAUGGCUGUUUACAAGGGUGGAUAGUGAUAGGACGAGGGGGCAAUGGUCUUAAACUGAGAUAGGGGAGGUUUAGGUUAGAUAUUAGGAGAAAGUUUUUCACUCAGAGGGUGGUGACGCACUGGAACAGGUUGCCCAAGGAGGCUGUGGAUGCCCCAUCCCUGGAGGCAUUCAAGGCCAGGCUGGAUGUGGCUCUGGGCAGCCUGGUCUGGUGGUUGGCAACCCUGCCCAUAGCAGGGGGUGUUAAA
ensembl:lncRNA